rnacentral:tRNA from 1 species
ACCUGGAUGGCUCAGUCGGUUAAGCGUCUGACUCUGGCUCAGGUCAUGAUCUCACGGUUUGUGGGUUCGAGCCCCACGUCGGGCU